AGCGAACGCUGGCGGCAGGCCUAACACAUGCAAGUCGAACGAACUCUUCGGAGUUAGUGGCGGACGGGUGAGUAACACGUGGGAACGUGCCUUUAGGUUCGGAAUAACUCAGGGAAACUUGUGCUAAUACCAAAUGUGCCCUUCGGGGGAAAGAUUUAUCGCCUUUAGAGCGGCCCGCGUCUGAUUAGCUAGUUGGUGAGGUAAAGGCUCACCAAGGCGACGAUCAGUAGCUGGUCUGAGAGGAUGAUCAGCCACAUUGGGACUGAGACACGGCCCAAACUCCUACGGGAAGCAGCAGUGGGGAAUCUUGCGCAAUGGGCGAAAGCCUGACGCAGCCAUGCCGCGUGAAUGAUGAAGGUCUUAGGAUUGUAAAAUUCUUUCACCGGGGACGAUAAUGACGGUACCCGGAGAAGAAGCCCCGGCUAACUUCGUG
rnacentral:rRNA from 1 species